UUUUACCUCUCUUUGGCAAUGACACAACUGCUGCUUGAAUACUGUGUCCAGUUCUGGUGUGCCCAAUUCAUAAAGGAUAUUGAUAAAUAGCAGAGGGUUCACAGAAGAGCCACAAGAAUGAUUAAAGGAUUGGAAAACAUCCCUUAUAAUAAGAAAAGGAGGACUUGUGGCACCUUCGAGACUAACA